rnacentral:rRNA from 1 species
AGAGUUUGAUCAUGGCUCAGAGCGAACGCUGGCGGCAGGCUUAACACAUGCAAGUCGAGCGGGCGUAGCAAUACGUCAGCGGCAGACGGGUGAGUAACGCGUGGGAACGUACCUUUUGGUUCGGAACAACACAGGGAAACUUGUGCUAAUACCGGAUAAGCCCUUACGGGGAAAGAUUUAUCGCCGAAAGAUCGGCCCGCGUCUGAUUAGCUAGUUGGUGAGGUAAUGGCUCACCAAGGCGACGAUCAGUAGCUGGUCUGAGAGGAUGAUCAGCCACAUUGGGACUGAGACACGGCCCAAACUCCUACGGGAGGCAGCAGUGGGGAAUAUUGGACAAUGGGGGCAACCCUGAUCCAGCCAUGCCGCGUGAGUGAUGAAGGCCCUAGGGUUGUAAAGCUCUUUUGUGCGGGAAGAUAAUGACGGUACCGCAAGAAUAAGCCCCGGCUAACUUCGUGCCAGCAGCCGCGGUAAUACGAAGGGGGCUAGCGUUGCUCGGAAUUACUGGGCGUAAAGUGCACGUAGGCGGAUUGUUAAGUCGGGGGUGAAAUCCUGGAGCUCAACUCCAGAACUGCCUUCGAUACUGGCGAUCUCGAGUUCGGGAGAGGUGAGUGGAACUGCGAGUGUAGAGGUGAAAUUCGUAGAUAUUCGCAAGAACACCAGUGGCGAAGGCGGCUCACUGGCCCGAUACUGACGCUGAGGUGUGAAAGCGUGGGGAGCAAACAGGAUUAGAUACCCUAGUAGUCC